AUGCUGGAGCUCAACAUCUAUUUGUGGACCAGAGCAGUCAAUUUUGGAGUGUUUCAGGGUCAUAAAGAGAGAAAUGUAAUUUCCCGAGACAACUCAGGGCUAAGUUGCAAAACCUGGGGAAGGAAGUCUAGCAAUACUUGCUGCUGUUUUUACAUUUUGGUCUCAUGUGACCUUCAGGAUGAGCAUCUUCAGGGAAGGAAGGGGUGCUUGGUACCUCUAUUUUUAAAGAGAAUCAAAUGCAUGGCACAUAGGAAGAACCAACUACCUGUUGUGGACCAGACACCGUGUUUGAUGCCCGGCAUCCCAAGAGUGAACAAGUUAGACUUGGGAAUCAUUUCCCCUAAGACUCUGGUCUUGCAGAAAUCCCACAGCAGCUUCUCUUUGAGUUCAGUCAGCUUGUCACCAAAUGCACUGUAUUCUGAGACCUUGCAAUUACUGCGUAAAAAUGGUUUAAUUAAUUAGAACAUGCCAGACAUCAACAUUUGAUUCUUGGCCUUAAAAGCUCAGAUACCAGACUGUCUGGCUCUAAACUGCAUGCCUGGCGAAUGGAGUGCACAAUGCCUGGCACAUAGAUGGGAAUCAAUAGGUUUCUCUUUCAUGAACAACUGAAUAAAAGAGCAAUGUUUGCUGUAAAGGAAUUGUUU
rnacentral:lncRNA from 13 species